UACAGAGGUCCCGAGCGUUGUUCGGAUUUACUGGGCGUAAAGGGCGCGUAGGCGGCCACGACAAGUCACUUGUGAAAUCUCCGGGCUUAACUCGGAACGGUCAAGUGAUACUGUCGGGCUAGAGUGCGGAAGGGGCAACUGGAAUUCUCGGUGUAGCGGUGAAAUGCGUAGAUAUCGAGAGGAACACCUGCGGCGAAGGCGGGUUGCUGGGCCGACACUGACGCUGAGGCGCGAAAGCUAGGGGAGCGAACGGG
rnacentral:rRNA from 1 species